rnacentral:tRNA from 1 species
UAGGGUGUGGCUCAGUGGUAGAGCCUUUUCCUGGCAUGCACGAGCUCUGGGUUCGAGUCCCAGCACUGUAA